rnacentral:lncRNA from 10 species
GGCAGGGGAGACUUAAGUCUUGAACAAUGGAUGAAGAUGCCUUCAGUGUAUCCCAUUGUUUACUUUUUACUAUUUUUUUUUUUUAGCUUCAUCUCUUCAAUCACUUUCUGGGAAUAUGCUCAAGUUUACUUCAAGCAAUCGAUUAGAUACUGUUGAAGCAUUGUCCUUUGAGAAUGGGCCACUGCUUUUUAUAUCAGAUGACUGUGAAUUCUCAUCAUGGACGAUAUCAUUUCUGCACAGAGAGCAAGAGAAGUCCAUGGCUCAUUGUACUGCAGCCCAGCAAUGUCCAGAGGCUCCGAGUGAUGAGUAUAUAUUAUAUUUCUUGGGAAACCAAGAAAAACUCCAGUAAUAGUACUGUACAUUAUGCUUCUUUGUAUAAUGGGUCAGUAAUAGUGGGAUGGGAUGCAUUUCACCAUAUCCCAUUUAGCUAUGAAAUUUUUAUUAUUUUCGAAUCCUUGGGUUUAACGGCAAGAGUGGUAUCGAGCUCUAUGGAUGGAAAAGUAACCCCUAAUUCUAAGACAGGUAAUGAAUAUUUUAAUCACCUGAAUUUCUACAACAAAUUAUCACAGGCUCAUCCUUUAUCUUGUUAUACAGAUACCAUAUAAUUAGUUUUAAUGGCACAAUAAGUGAUUUUACUUUUUGGUUUUUGCAACUUUUUGUAGUAGAGUUUUGCAAAGAUUUUUUUCAUCAGUAGUGAUAGAACAUCUCAUCAGAAUUUACCUUCCUCAGGGAAGCAGAGGUCUAUCUUUAAACAUUCACUAUUGAAUUCAAAUAAAUAUGCUUUGAAUUUAUUCUUUAAUUAUCACAUGAGAAUGUUUACUGCCUUCAUGCCAGGUAGGUCAUGGUAAAGAUGCUUGCUAGUGCCUCAGCAUAUCAAACCUUUAAAAAGGAACUUUUUAAUUAACAUUUUCAUUUCAAUAUAAAAGACCAAGAGCAGAUAGAGAAAAUACAGGAAAAUACAG